AGUGAUGCGGCUGAGAGAGAUUUUGUUGAUAAUCAGAAUGAUGAAGAUGAGGAAAAGGUGAAGAAGGAUCCCCUGCCUCAGAUGCAGCAGGAUGCCGUGAAAAGAAAUAAAGUCAAGGCCAAGAGGACCAAGAGAAACAAAGUGGAGCAGAUCACUGAUGCAGGUCCCUCUACAUCUGUGGAAUUCUCUGGGAUGGCAGUUCAGGGGACAUCUCACCAGGGACAAUCUAAUGAGAAGAUCCUAAGUGAGUGUGUCUCCAGGGCCUGUCAGACCAGGGCUCUUGACCUCCCGCCAAUC